GGACGGUGCACGGUCAGGAGAGGCCGUAUAAGUAUGUAUCUUAAAAGCGAGAGAGCAUACAGAAUAGUACUACGCGGACUCCAUGCAUCAGAAAAUACCACAGAAAUUUCAAAAGAAUUGUAUGAAAUUGGACAUGAAGUGAGACAAAUAGUCAAUAUCAGACAUCGAGUUACAAAGGAACCGUUGCCUGUAUUUUAUGUCGAUUUAGAACCAAAGCCAAACAACAAAGCCAUUUUCGAUGUGAAAUACUUGAAUAACAUGAAGAUUACUUUUGAAGCCCCAUAUGAGAAAAAGGAAAUCAUUCAGUGCAAGAGAUGUCAGAGAUUUGGGCAUUCCGAGAACCAAUGUUUUAGGCCCUAUCGCUGUGUUUAAUGCAGACAAUCAAAGCUUAACUAAAACUUAUUCAGAAGCAAAAAAAACCAAAGAACAAGAUACUCAGCAAGACACAAAGAACGACUUGGAUGACCAGUGCAUCCGAGGACGGUGCACGGUCAGGAGAGGCCGUAUAAGUAUGUAUCUUAAAAGCGAGAGAGCAUACAGAAUAGUACUACGCGGACUCCAUGCAUCAGAAAAUACCACAGAAAUUUCAAAAGAAUUGUAUGAAAUUGGACAUGAAGUGAGACAAAUAGUCAAUAUCAGACAUCGAGUUACAAAGGAACCGUUGCCUGUAUUUUAUGUCGAUUUAGAACCAAAGCCAAACAACAAAGCCAUUUUCGAUGUGAAAUACUUGAAUAACAUGAAGAUUACUUUUGAAGCCCCAUAUUAGAAAAAGGAAAUCAUUCAGUGCAAGAGAUGUCAGAGAUUUGGGCAUUCCGAGAACCAAUGUUUUAGGCCCUAUCGCUGUGUUUAAUGCAGACAAUCAAAGCUUAACUAAAACUUAUUCAGAAGCAAAAAAAACCAAAGAACAAGAUACUCAGCAAGACACAAAGAACGACUUGGAUGACCAGUGCAUCCGAGGACGGUGCACGGUCAGGAG